rnacentral:rRNA from 1 species
ACAUUGUAUUGAGCACUUGGGCAUCCAAGUGGUUCGAAAGCUCCGGCGGUGCAGGAUGAGCCCGCGGCCUAUCAGCUUGUUGGUGAGGUAAUGGCUCACCAAGGCGACGACGGGUAGCCGGCCUGAGAGGGCGACCGGCCACACUGGGACUGAGACACGGCCCAGACUCCUACGGGAGGCAGCAGUGGGGAAUAUUGCACAAUGGGCGAAAGCCUGAUGCAGCGACGCCGCGUGAGGGAUGACGGCCUUCGGGUUGUAAACCUCUUUCAGCAGGGAAGAAGCGAAAGUGACGGUACCUGCAGAAGAAGCGCCGGCUAACUACGUGCCAGCAGCCGCGGUAAUACGUAGGGCGCAAGCGUUGUCCGGAAUUAUUGGGCGUAAAGAGCUCGUAGGCGGCUUGUCACGUCGGUUGUGAAAGCCCGGGGCUUAACCCCGGGUCUGCAGUCGAUACGGGCAGGCUAGAGUUCGGUAGGGGAGAUCGGUUUUCCUGGUGA